rnacentral:tRNA from 1 species
GCCGGGGUGGCGGAAUUGGCAGACGCACAGGACUUAAAAUCCUGGGCCCCGCAAGGGGCGUACGGGUUCGAUUCCCGUCCUCGGCACCA